rnacentral:tRNA from 1 species
UCCCUUGUGGCUCAGUUGGUAAAGGAUCUGCCUGUGAUGCAGGAGACCCUGGUUCAAUCCCUGGGUUGGGAA